GACGAACGCUGGCGGCGUGCUUAACACAUGCAAGUCGAGCGAAUGGAUUAAGAGCUUGCUCUUAUGAAGUUAGCGGCGGACGGGUGAGUAACACGUGGGUAACCUGCCCAUAAGACUGGGAUAACUCCGGGAAACCGGGGCUAAUACCGGAUAACAUUUUGAACCGCAUGGUUCGAAAUUGAAAGGCGGCUUCGGCUGUCACUUAUGGAUGGACCCGCGUCGCAUUAGCUAGUUGGUGAGGUAACGGCUCACCAAGGCAACGAUGCGUAGCCGACCUGAGAGGGUGAUCGGCCACACUGGGACUGAGACAAGGCCCAGACUCCUACGGGAGGCAGCAGUAGGGAAUCUUCCGCAAUGGACGAAAGUCUGACGGAGCAACGCCGCGUGAGUGAUGAAGGCUUUCGGGUCGUAAAACUCUGUUGUUAGGGAAGAACAAGUGCUAGUUGAAUAAGCUGGCACCUUGACGGUACCUAACCAGAAAGCCACGGCUAACUACGUGCCAGCCGCCGCAGUAA
rnacentral:rRNA from 1 species